rnacentral:rRNA from 1 species
UACGAAGGGGGCUAGCGUUGUUCGGAAUUACUGGGCGUAAAGCGCACGUAGGCGGAUUGUUAAGUGAGGGGUGAAAUCCCAGGGCUCAACCCUGGAACUGCCUUUCAUACUGGCAAUCUCGAGUCCGAGAGAGGUGAGUGGAAUUCCGAGUGUAGAGGUGAAAAUUCGUAGAUAUUCGGAGGAACACCAGUGGCGAAGGCGGCUCACUGGCUCGGUACUGGACGCUGAGGUGCGAAAGCGUGGGGAGCAAACAGGG